GCUGAAGCCGGCAGGAGGGAGCCCGGCGCUACCUCAGCACCCACGGGCGCUCGGGGGGAGCCCCCCUACCUCCUCCCCGGGGUCCCCCCCAGGCACCUGCCCCUGGAGGAAGCCGAGCGGACGGACAGGCGGAUAGGAUACGUACGGAGCAACACGGCGAGGCUCCCUACAACGAGGGGGAGCCGCCGAGAAGGAGGGGGGGGGUCAGCCGCUCCGCGCCCCCCGCCCUCCACCCGAGGCGUCUCGUCGGACGAGGCUGUCCUUCCUCCCUCCUCCUCCUCCUCGUCCUCCAGCGGCGGCAGCGGGCUUCACCGCCCCAGGAGGCAGGCGGGGCGCAUCCCGCGCCGCCCCGGCCCUUGUCGCCGAUCGCCGCCGCCGCCGCCACUCGCGAUCGCGGCGCUGCCCCCGCGGGACUCAGCCCCGCAGGGAAGCCGGGUGUGGGGCGCGAGUGGAGCCGGCGUCCUGCGGGCACAUGCGGGCUCGGAGAGACAGGGACGCUGCGCGGCUGUGCUGCAGCGCGGCUCGCAGCCCCGGGCGGGCUGCGCUCGCCCCUCACUCCUACAAAGUGAGGCUGGCGGCCGCGGCCCCGCUCCCGCUCCCUCCCCCCCCCCGCGGCGCUCUGGCGGCUGCCCCUCCCCUCGCAACAUGGCCGCCCCUCCCCUCGCAACAUGGCCGCCCCUCCCCUCGCGGCACGCCCGCCGCGGACAGAGAGAGCGGGGCCGGGCCAGCGGCGGCUCCGCACCGCUCCGCCUCUGCCUGACGUGGCAGGCGGCAAAUGAGCGUGAAGCCGGGCGGGAACCGGGAGGGGUUGGGAGUGAUGGGGGAAAUGGCCAGUGGUCGAGGUGGAGGGGAGGGGGACGGAGCUUCCUGUCCUGCCCCUGCGGGGGGCGGCUGGAGGCCGGCGCGGGGUGGGAAGUGGGUGAGGGGGGCUUGGAGGGGCAUCGGACGGGCUCCCUCUCGCCGAAGUGUGUUAAAACACAGGGGUCUUUCAUGCUGCCUUUAGGGCUUCUUACUCUGCGCCUCUCUUUCACGCUCCUGAGGCUUGUUUUGGUUCGGUCUUGCGGCCGAAAAGAGCAGGAACUUGUGUUCCUUUUGUACGUCUGGUUUCUCUUCCCGUCUUGUGAGAGAGCAGGAGGUCUGCUCUUCGGCCAGUGCUGA
rnacentral:lncRNA from 1 species